rnacentral:lncRNA from 1 species
GGUCAUUUUACAUUCCAUAAAUAAGGGAGAUCAUAAAAUAUGUCUUUCUCUGCCUGGCUUAUUUCAUUAGUCUUCUUUUCAUCCAUGUUGUCACAAAUGAUGGGAUUUCUUUUCUUAAAAAUGGAAUAUUAUUCCAUUGUGAAUAAAUACUACAUUGUCUUUUUCUUUCUAAAGUUAUUGUACUAAUUUUCAGUCUGAACAACAAAUUUCAGUACCCUUUGCUCCACAUCCUUGUCAGUAUUUAUUAUUGUUUGUAUUUUUGAUGAUUGCCAUUCUAACUGCAGUGAGAUCAAAUAGUGUAGCUUUAAUUUGCAGUUACCUGACUGCUAAGGAUAUUGAACAUUUCUUCACAUGCAUUGUUUGUUUGUAUUUAUUCUUUGAGAAAUGUUUGUGUAGUUCAUUUGCCCAUUUAUUGAUUUGUUAUUUGGGUUUUUUUGGUGUUAAGAUUUUUCGUUCUUUAUGUAUUUUGAAUAUUAAUCCCUUGUUGGAAAAAUAGCUAGCAAAGAUUUUCUCCCAUUCUGUAGGCUCUCUCUUCAUGCUCUUGUUUCCUUUGCUGGGCAGAAACUUUUAAAUUUGAAGCCAUCCAUUUAUUGAUUCUUGGUUUUAUUUCUUGAGAUUUGGGCAUCUUAUUAAGGAAAUUGAUUUCUGCAUCAAUAUGUUGGAGUUUUACCCUAUGUUCCUUCAAAUAGUUGCAGUGUUUCUGGUCUAUUUCCAAGGAAUUUGAUCCAAUUUGAGUUGAUUUUUAUGCAGGGUGAGAGAUAGGAAUCUAAUUUCAUUCUUCUACAUAUAUUCAGUUUUCCCAGCACCAUGCAUUAAAAAGGCUAUCUUUUCUCCAGCUUAUGUUUUUUUUGUAUCUUUGUUAAGGAUCAGAUAAUUAUCUAAGUGUAUUUGUCUUUGUGUCUUCUGUUAUAUUCCAUGGACUUCACAUCUAUUUUUAUGCGAAAACCAGGCUGUUUGUUACUAUACCCCUGUAUAAUUUGAGAUCAGGGAUUAUUAUUAUGUCUUCAGCAUCACUCUUCUUGGUGAGCAUUGUUGUCGCUAUUCUGGAUCAUUUAUUCUUUUAAAUUAUUUUAGGAGUGUGAAGAAUGUUAUUGAUAUUUUGAUGAGGAUUUCAAUGGAUCUGUAUAACACUUUUCAUAGUAUGGUCAUUUUGACAAUAUUAAUCCUGUCUGUCCAAGAACAUGGGAUGCCUUUCCAUUUUCUUGGGUAGUCUUCAAUUUCUUUCUUCAGUGUUCUAAAGUUUUCAUUGUAGAGAUUUUUCAAUUCCUUGGUUAGAUUUAUUCACAGGUAUUUUUUAUUGUUUUUAUAAAUGUCAGGGUUUUAUUUCUGAAUGUGCAGUUCUAUUCC